rnacentral:rRNA from 1 species
ACAUCCAGCGAACUUGGGCAGAGAUGCCUUGGUGCCUUCGGGAACGCUGAGACAGGUGCUGCAUGGCUGUCGUCAGCUCGUGUUGUGAAAUGUUGGGUUAAGUCCCGCAACGAGCGCAACCCUUUAUCCUUUGUUGCCAGCGAUUCGGUCGGGAACUCAAAGGAGACUGCCGGUGAUAAACCGGAGGAAGGUGGGGAUGACGUCAAGUCAUCAUGGCCCUUACGAGUAGGGCUACACACGUGCUACAAUGGCGCAUACAAAGAGAAGCGACCUCGCGAGAGCAAGCGGACCUCAUAAAGUGCGUCGUAGUCCGGAUCGGAGUCUGCAACUCGACUCCGUGAAGUCGGAAUCGCUAGUAAUCGUGGAUCAGAGUGCCACGGUGAAUACGUUCCCGGGCCUUGUACACACCGCCCGUCACACCAUGGGAGUGGGUUGCAAAAGAAGUAGGUAGCUUAACCUUCGGGAGGGCGCUUACCACUUUGUGAUUCAUGACUGGGGUGAAGUCGUAACAAGGUAGGCGUAGCGAG